rnacentral:rRNA from 1 species
CAGAUUGAACGCUGGCGGCAGGCHUAACACAUGCAAGUCGAGCGCGAAAGUUCUUCGGGACGAGUAGAGCGGCGGACGGGUGAGUAACGCGUGGGAAAUUGCCCAGUAGUGGGGGACAACAUUCGGAAACGGAUGCUAAUACCGCAUACGCCCCUACGGGGGAAAGCGGGGGAUCUUCGGACCUCGUGCUAUUGGAUAUGCCCGCGUCGGAUUAGCUGGUUGGUGAGGUAAAGGCUCACCAAGGCAACGAUCCGUAGCUGGUCUGAGAGGAUGAUCAGCCACACUGGGACUGAGACACGGCCCAGACUCCUACGGGAGGCAGCAGUGGGGAAUAUUGGACAAUGGGCGCAAGCCUGAUCCAGCCAUGCCGCGUGUGUGAAGAAGGCCCUAGGGUUGUAAAGCACUUUCAGUGGGGAGGAAGGCCUUAAUGUUAAUAGCAUUGAGGAUUGACGUUACCUACAGAAGAAGCACCGGCUAACUCCGUGCCAGCAGCCGCGGUAAUACGGAGGGUGCGAGCGUUAAUCGGAAUUACUGGGCGUAAAGCGCGCGUAGGCGGUUAGUUAAGCUGGAUGUGAAAGCCCCGGGCUCAACCUGGGAACUGCAUUCAGAACUGGCAGGCUAGAGUACGAGAGAGGGUAGUGGAAUUUCCUGUGUAGCGGUGAAAUGCGUAGAUAUAGGAAGGAACAUCAGUGGCGAAGGCGGCUKCCUGGCUCGAWACU